rnacentral:rRNA from 1 species
GACGAACGCUGGCGGCGUGCUUAACACAUGCAAGUCGAACGGACAGGCCCUGCUUUUGUGGGGUUCUCGAGUGGCGAACGGGUGAGUAACACGUGAGUAACCUGCCCUUGACUUUGGGAUAACUUCAGGAAACUGGGGCUAAUACCGGAUAGGAGCUCCUGCUGCAUGGUGGGGGUUGGAAAGUUUCGGCGGUUGGGGAUGGACUCGCGGCUUAUCAGCUUGUUGGGGGGGUAGUGGCUUACCACGGUUUUGACGGGUAGCCUGCCUGGGAGGGUGACCGGCCACAUUGGGACUGAGAUACGGCCCAGACUCCUACGGGAGGCAGCAGUGGGGAAUAUUGCACAAUGGGCGGGAGCCUGAUGCAGCAACGCCGCGUGCGGGAUGACGGCCUUCGGGUUGUAAACCGCUGUCGCCUGUGACGAAGCGUGAGUGACGGUAAUGGGUAAAGAAGCACCGGCUAACUACGUG